rnacentral:rRNA from 1 species
AACGAACGCUGGCGGCAUGCCUAACACAUGCAAGUCGAACGAAGGCUUCGGCCUUAGUGGCGCACGGGUGCGUAACGCGUGGGAAUCUGCCCUUAGGUACGGAAUAACUCAGGGAAACUGGAGCUAAUACCGUAUAAUGACUCCGGUCCAAAGAUUUAUCGCCUGAGGAUGAGCCCGGGUAGGAUUAGCUAGUUGGUGAGGUAAAGGCUCACCAAGGCGACGAUCCUUAGCUGGUCUGAGAGGAUGAUCAGCCACACUGGGACUGAGACACGGCCCAGACUCCUACGGGAGGCAGCAGUGGGGAAUAUUGGACAAUGGGCGAAAGCCUGAUCCAGCAAUGCCGCGUGAGUGAUGAAGGCCUUAGGGUUGUAAAGCUCUUUUACCCGAGAUGAUAAUGACAGUACCGGGAGAAUGAGCCCCGGCUAACUCCGUGCCAGCCGCCGCGGUAA